rnacentral:ncRNA from 1 species
GCUCAAAGUUGGGAAACUCUGGUGAAAUUCCGGGACUGUGCCGCAGCUGUAAAAAAGUAUUGAGUUAAAAGUCCUGUGUACUGAGUAUAAAUAAACUCAGCACUCAGCACUCAGCACUCAUCACUUAAGAGUCAGAAUGCCAACUUGAGC